GAUGAACGCUGGCGGCGUGCCUAAUACAUGCAAGUCGAGCGAACAGACGAGGAGCUUGCUCCUCUGACGUUAGCGGCGGACGGGUGAGUAACACGUGGAUAACCUACCUAUAAGACUGGGAUAACUUCGGGAAACCGGAGCUAAUAACGGAUAAUAUAUUGAACCGCAUGGUUCAAUAGUGAAAGACGGUUUUGCUUUCACUUAUAGAUGGAUUCGCGCCGCAUUAGCUAGUUGGUAAGGUAACGGCUUACCAAGGCAACGAUGCGUAGCCGACCUGAGAGGGUGAUCGGCCACACUGGAACUGAGACACGGUCCAGACUCCUACGGGAGGCAGCAGUAGGGAAUCUUCCGCAAUGGGCGAAAGCUUGACGGAGCAACGCCGCGUGAGUGAUGAAGGUCUUCGGAUCGUAAAACUCUGUUAUUAGGGAAGAACAAAUGUGUAAGUAACUAUGCACGUCUUGACGGUACCUAAUCAGAAAGCCACGGCUAACUACGUG
rnacentral:rRNA from 1 species